CAACUUAUUUACAAAUUUGCCACAGGCUCUCUCUCCCCCUAAUCCGCACACACGUUGAUGAUCGCGGGAAGGGAAUAACAAUGGUAAAGCAGGCCUUUUCCGUUUCCUUCUCAAGCCCUCCUCGCCUUCUCUGUGUCGUGCACCUCGCCUUCUCUCUGUCGCAUUCCAUACCAGAACUCAAAUCAAUGGUGAGGUGCAUGUCGUUGUGUAACCCAUCUUCAGCUCUGUCUCUUUCACUGUUGGAUUCCAUGUGCUGUUGCCGAUCUACAGUUUGUGCGUGCGACUGUGGGAGAGAGAGAGAGAGCAAGGGAACCAGCGAUGAGAGAAAGAGAAAGUGAGGUUGGAGGGAGGGAGAGUGAUUCUGGUGCCGUAAAUGAACGAACACGUUCCAAAAUACCACGAGUGGAUGAAAGACCCAGCUCUCCUCCAAGCCACCGGCUCCGAGCCCCUCAGCCUCGACCAGGAAUACCAGAUGCAGCUUACCUGGACCCAAGACCCCAAUAUGGUUUGGUGAAUGAUUGAAGAUUUGAAAAUGGUUUUUGCCGAGCAGACUUUCAUUGUAUUAGAUAAGCAAUUGGUUGUGGGAGAGUUCAGCCAUGGAGAGCCUCAUGUGGAAGGUUAGCCAAAUUUACAGUCUUUCUUCACAAAAUUACCUUAUGAUUGGUUGCUGAGAAAAAUUAUGGAGACAUUCAAAUGAUUACUUGAGAACAGUUGGUUGGAUGGUUUUGGAUGAAAUCAUGAGAAGUGUUUAGUAAAUUUUGAUCUUAAUUUUACUAAGAUUUUGAGUGUUUUUUUUCCUCUGCAAAUUUCGAUUAAAUUGCUUGCAAUUGAACUAUUUUGUAAUUUUCUAUAAAACUCCCUGUAUAUUUAUAAUUUGUGUCCAAUAGCAGGUAAUUAGGUAUUGUAUUUUUUGAAAACUCCGAUUAAUUUUUUUCAUGUUCUUCUUUUCUGGUGGGAAGAUUAGGGAUAAGCUCCGUACCCAAACUUGAGAGAGAGAGA